rnacentral:rRNA from 1 species
GGCUCAGGAUGAACGCUAGCUACAGGCUUAACACAUGCAAGUCGAGGGGAAACGAUAGAGAAGCUUGCUUUUUCUAGGCGUCGACCGGCGCACGGGUGAGUAACGCGUAUCCAACCUGCCCAUCACUUGGGGAUAACCCUUGCGAAAGUAAGACUAAUACCCAAUGACGUCUCUAGAAGACAUCUGAAAGAGAUUAAAGAUUUAUCGGUGAUGGAUGGGGAUGCGUCUGAUUAGCUUGUUGGCGGGGUAACGGCCCACCAAGGCGACGAUCAGUAGGGGUUCUGAGAGGAAGGUCCCCCACAUUGGAACUGAGACACGGUCCAAACUCCUACGGGAGGCAGCAGUGAGGAAUAUUGGUCAAUGGACGAGAGUCUGAACCAGCCAAGUAGCGUGCAGGAUGACGGCCCUAUGGGUUGUAAACUGCUUUUAUAAGGGAAUAAAGUGGGAGUCGUGACUCUUUUUGCAUGUACCUUAUGAAUAAGGACCGGCUAAUUCCGUG